rnacentral:rRNA from 1 species
UACGAAGGGGCUAGCGUUGUUCGGAUUUACUGGGCGUAAAGCGCACGUAGGCGGAUCGAUCAGUCAGGGGUGAAAUCCCAGGGCUCAACCCUGGAACUGCCUUUGAUACUGUCGAUCUGGAGUAUGGAAGAGGUGAGUGGAAUUCCGAGUGUAGAGGUGAAAUUCGUAGAUAUUCGGAGGAACACCAGUGGCGAAGGCGGCUCACUGGUCCAUUACUGACGCUGAGACGCGAAGCGUGGGGAGCAAACAGG